GCAAACAUAUAAGAUAUAUAUGAUAUAUAUGACAACAAUUUUCACAGCAAAGUGCAAACAUAUAAGAUAUCCAUCCAACAUGCAGAGUUCCAUCAUACAUAGUUCCAUCACAUAUGUUCCAUCCAACUAGCAAGUUCCAUCAUACAUAGCAUAGUUCAUCCAACUACCAAGAUACAUGCAUAGUUCAACGAUACAAAAGAAAGAGAGAAAGGGAUAAGGAGCACUCCAUCUAUGCAAGCUUUCGUCAAGUGAAUGAAAUCUGCAAAAUGAAAAAUAAGAAAGUUAGAAAUAGGUGACUAGAACAAGAAGAAGACUAGAACAAGAAGAGUAUGUCAUUUAUGGGCUAACUUACGUGAAAUGGAUCAUAUAUGAGCUAACUAAGUUGAAAUGGGUCGUUUAUGCGCUAACUAAGGUCAAAUGGAUCGUUUUUGAGGUAACUAAGGUGAAAUGGAUCGUUUUUUAGCUCACUUAGGUCAAAUGGAUCAUUUAUGAGCUAACUUAGUUGAAAUGGAUCGUUUUUUAGCUAACUUUGUUGAAAUGGAUCAUUUUUUAGCUAAUUUAGUUGAAAUGGAUCUUUUUGAGCUAACUUUGUUGAAAUGGAUCAUUUAUGAGCUAAUUUAGUUGAAAUGGAUUUUUUGAGCUAACUUAGGUGAAAUGGAUCAUUUAAGAGCUAAUUUAGGUGCAAUGGAUCGUUUUUUAGCUCACUUAGAUCAAAUGGAUCAUUUAUGAGCUAAAUUAGUUGAAAUGGAUCGUUUAUGAGAUAACCUAGGUAAGAUGGGUCAUUUUGGAGUUAACCUAGGUGAAAUGGGCCAUUGUAAAGCUAACGUAGGUAAAAUGGAUCAUUUAGGAGCUAAUCUAGGUAAAAGGGGUCAUUUUUGAGCUAACUUGGAUGAACUGCAUCAUUUAUAAGCUAACCUAGGUAAAAUGGGUCAUUAUGGAGGAAAAGAAGCUAACUCUAGGUCAUUAUGGUAAGCAUAUUGGAGGAAAUAAAGCUAAGUCUAGGUCUUUAUGCAUUUGUUAAGCAAAACACUAGAGAAACUUACCGUGAUCAGGG
rnacentral:lncRNA from 1 species